GUUUUUAGUGACCAAAAAUGGCUAUUGUUGUGGUUCCGGUGUAACGGUAUUCGAAAUAUUACGGAAGUAAUAACCAAUAAGCUUGUGAAUCGCAAAAUAAAUUAAAUAUUAUACAAUGGUGAAGUGCGCAGUUGUUGCCUGCACCAGCAAAACCCAAACAAAACUAGCGGGAAAUUCAUUUCACAAAUUUCCAAAAAACAUGAUUUAAGACAAAAAUGGCUAAACAGCAUUAACAGGCCUAAUUUCCAUCACGAUACAGCUGCAUAUGUAGUGAUCAUUUUAAGAAGGAUCACAUUAAUUUAACAUUAUGCCUUCCGCGCCUCAAAGACAAUGCCUGCCCAUCUGUCCCGAAUUUAUCACCUGAGCAACAAGUAAGACAACCCUAGCAAGAAGUGAAUCUUAAUCUGUUAUCAGAGAG
rnacentral:lncRNA from 1 species